GUGCCAGCAGCCGCGGUAAGACGAACCGUACGAACGUUAUUCGGAAUUACUGGGCUUAAAGGGUGCGUAGGCGGCGCGGAAAGUAGGGUGUGAAAUCCCUCGGCUCAACCGAGGAACUGCGCUCUAAACUACCGUGCUCGAGGGAGAUAGAGGUGAGCGGAACUGAGGGUGGAGCGGUGAAAUGCGUUGAUAUCCUCAGGAACACCGGUGGCGAAAGCGGCUCACUGGAUCUCUUCUGACGCUGAGGCACGAAAGCUAGGGUAGCGAACGGGAUUAGAAACCCCCGUAGUCC
rnacentral:rRNA from 1 species